ensembl:lncRNA
UUUGUAUCUUUGGAUGGAAAGGGAAAGAUACAUGCUAAAAAAUUGUGAAGAUAUUGGGGCUAGUAAGAGCUUUCCUAGCCCAUACUGCGACAAGAAGUAAAUCCUCAGUGCCUGGCAUUGGUUUGUUGCUCUAUGGAUUCACAGUUUCCACUUUUAUUCCUAUCUGAUAUGCUAUUUUGACCAAAUUACUCAUUCACCCAUGAAAAUUAUUGAUUUCAGGUGUUCCAGUCACUUCCAUGGCCACAUGUGUAUAAAAUCAAGCACCUAGGUUUGUGGUGUAGUCAGACUCGAGCGUCAAGGAAGGUGGUAGGGAAGCAGACUACGCAGACAUGUCGGGUUUCCAGAGUACAUGGAUCUGGUAACACAGCUCACCUCUCUCUCUCAUCUGAAUCUGGAAGAGACUGGCUUUAAAUAGGGCCAUCAAUUUCCCUUCAAUUAGCCCAGCCAGUACCACUCACUUGAACCGAGGGAUCUAAGACUCUACACUGAUGAUUAAAAAAGACACAAAACCUCCUCACCCUUCUAAUUGGUGCAUUUACGCAACUAAACGGCUCUAUUUACAAAAAAAAAAAAAAAGACCCCUUCAG